CAGAGUUCAUGCCCUCACGGGUAGAUCUCCCACCCUUGAAAUUCUUACCUUUGUUGCUUUGGCGGGCCGCGGCCUCCGCUACCGGCCCCGGCUGGUAUGUGCCUGCCAGAGGACCCCAAACUCUGAAUGUUAGUGUCGUCUGAGUACUAUACAAUAGUUA
rnacentral:misc_RNA from 1 species